rnacentral:rRNA from 1 species
GCUAACGGCUGAACUGGCAACUUGGAGAAGUGGCAAGUCUUCCAGUAUGGGGAGCAAAACAGCUAUGGGUCAAGUCCGAUAUCUUUAGGAGAAGUCUUAUUGUGAGGGCGAGUUAUAUAACACCAUAGGACUGGCCGUCCCAUAUGAAAAGAUUAUAUUAGAAUUGAAUGAAGCUUUGUUUAUAUAUUGAUAAUGACAGUAUAUAUAUCGUGUCUUGACUAAUUGCGUGCCAGCAGUCGCGGUAAUACGUAAGAGACUAGUGUUAUUCAUCUUAAUUAGGUUUAAAGGGUACCCAGACGGUCAAUAUAGCUUAUAAAAUGUUAGUACUUGACUAGAGUUUUAUGUAAGAGGGCAGUACUUGAGGAGGAGAGAUGAAAUUUCGUGAUACCAAAGGGACUCUGUAAAGGCGAAGGCAGCCCUCUAUGUAAAAACUGACGUUGAAGGACGAAGGCACAGAGAACAAACAGGAUUAGAUACCCAAGUAGUCUUUGCAGUAAAUGAUGAAUGCCAUAGGUUAGAUUGAUCAAUUAUAGUCUAGGGUUAGUCUAGCAAACUAAUGCCCUAUGAUAUAAUUCAAAAUAUCUGGUCUAUAAAUGAAAGUGUAAGCAUUUCACCUCAAGAGUAAUGUGGCAACGCAGGAACUGAAAUCACUAGACCNUUUCUGACACCAGUAGUGAAGUAU